rnacentral:rRNA from 1 species
CAAAAUUCUGGCGGGCCGUAGAGCGUGCGCAUGCGGUUUUGUAGGUCUGUCGUGAAAUCCCCGGGCUCAACCUGGGAAUUGCGAUGGACACUGCAAGGCUACAAUCUGGCAGAGGGGUAUAGAAUUCCACGUGUAGCAGUGAAAUGCGUAGAGAUGUGGAGGAACACCGAUGGCGAAGGCAGCCCCCUGGGUCAAGAUUGACGCUCAUGCACGAAAGCGUGGGGAGCAAACAGGAUUAGAUACCCUGGUAGUCCACGCCCUAAACGAUGUCUACUAGUUGUCGGGUUUUAAUUAACUUGGUAACGCAGCUAACGCGUGAAGUAGACCGCCUGGGGAGUACGGUCGCAAGAUUAAAACUCAAAGGAAUUGACGGGGACCCGCACAAGCGGUGGAUGAUGUGGAUUAAUUCGAUGCAACGCGAAAAACCUUACCUACCCUUGACAUGUCAGGAAUACCGAAGAGAUUUGGUUGUGCCCGAAAGGGGAACCUGAACACAGGUGCUGCAUGGGCUGUCGUCAGCUCGUGUCGUGAGAUGUUUGGGUUAAGUCCCGC